rnacentral:rRNA from 1 species
AACGAACGCUGGCGGCAUGCCUAACACAUGCCAGUCGAACGAGACCUUCGGGUCUAGUGGCGCACGGGUGCGUAACGCGUGUGAACCUGCCCUUAGGUUCGGAAUAACUCCCCGAAAGGGGUGCUAAUACCGGAUAAUGUCUUCGGACCAAAGAUUUAUCGCCUUUGGAUGGGCCCGCGUUGGAUUAGCUAGUUGGUAGGGUAAAAGCCUACCAAGGCGACGAUCCAUAGCUGGUCUGAGAGGAUGAUCAGCCACACUGGGACUGAGACACGGCCCAGACUCCUACGGGAGGCAGCAGUGGGGAAUAUUGGACAAUGGGCGAAAGCCUGAUCCAGCAAUGCCGCGUGAGUGAUGAAGGCCUUAGGGUUGUAAAGCUCUUUUACCCGGGAUGAUAAUGACAGUACCGGGAGAAUAAGCUCCGGCUAACUCCGUG